rnacentral:rRNA from 1 species
UGCCAGACUCCUACGGGAGGCAGCAGUGGGGGAUAUUGCACAAUGGGGGAAACCCUGAUGCAGCGACGCCGCGUGGGCGAAGAAGUAUUUCGGUAUGUAAAGCCCUAUCAGCAGGGAAGAAGAAAUGACGGUACCUGAGUAAGAAGCGCCGGCUAAAUACGUGCCAGCAGCCGCGGUAAUACGUAUGGUGCAAGCGUUAUCCGGAUUUACUGGGUGUAAAGGGAGCGCAGGCGGCACGGCAAGCCUGAUGUGAAAGCCCGCGGCCCAACCGCGGGACUGCAUUGGGAACUACCGGGCUGGAGUGCCGGAGAGGUAGGCGGAAUUCCUAGUGUAGCGGUGAAAUGCGUAGAUAUUAGGAGGAACACCAGUGGCGAAGGCGGCUUACUGGACGGUGACUGACGCUGAGGCUCGAAAGCGUGGGGAGCAAACAGGAUUAGAUACCCCGGUAU